AGACGUAGUUGAAUACAUGGAAUUUAGUUGUCCUAGCUAUGCAUCAUCUCUAAAGGUAACAGUAAUCCCAGUCUAUAUUAAUUGAGUAUUAGUCACACUUAACGUUGAAAAUUUGGAGAUACUCUUACAUGUUUUUGCAUAUCAGGGAGGCCAUAUUGGACAGUUUGAAGCAAAUUCUAUAGGAUUUGAGAAGGAGAGGAAAGAUGUGAUUGAUCUAUAGAAAAGUUUAAGAGUAAACAAAAAGGCUUAAUUUUUUUGGCAUAUUAGAUAGGCUUUGCACUUAACGAUGGAGGCUGGAGUGCUUGGUCAAGGACGGGUGGCUCGCACAGAUGAUCAUGGUAAAUACAUUAGUGUGGUCAAAUUUCUCAAUCCAUGUAAAUGGUAUGAGCACAUUUUUUGUAUUCAGAUAUAUAUCUUUUUUUUUUGGGUGAAUUUAUGGGCAGAUGUUGGUUAUGCAAGGUCGCAACGUAAGCUAGAUUAAUAACUGUUGAUGGGUAUGUAAGGUCGCAAGGUAGUUGCUUUAAUUUCUUUCUAUGAAACCAAUGUUUUAACCAUCUCAAGUAUUUUGUUUUACCACUAUUAGUAUGAUAAAUGAGGUAUAUUGAUUUAUGUUGAUGUGAAUGGGUCUCAUCUCUAAAUAUGCUAUAUAUUUUUUGUGCAUUAUUCCAAAGCUUAUAAAUCUUAUCUCUUCAGUACAUAUUUGUCCUCCACAUUUGUUAUUUUCUCUUAUUUUGGUGUUAAAGGGGCAACAAAAGGCAUGUUGAAACUUUAGGAAAAGAGGCCUUGUAUUUUUCAGUUUUCAAAAGUUAUCACCUAAGCCUUCUCACUAUUUGUUGCCUCUUGAAUUCUCAUGUAGAAUGCUCCUACACUGCAAUAAUUGGUGGAAGAUGCAAAUGAAUAUCUAAUAGAGAACAUGUCAAGUCACCUCCUCUUUUCAGUUUAUUGAAACUAUUAUUCAUUAACUACUUUGUACAAGCCUUAAGUUUCUGCUCGUCACCUACUUAUGAGAGAUGCAUGAUGAAGUAUUACAAGUAUUUUUCAUAACAUGUUAAUACAAUACCAAAGGUGCAUCUUUGGCUGCUUUUUAUAGCUUUGCUUUUCUUUUAUCAUUUUCCCAGUCAAUUGUAUUAGCAAGAUGGUCAAUCACAUUAUGAUUGACUAUAAAUCACUCCAUUUAGCUUUCCAGGAGUUCUAAGCAUUGUAGACAUUCUGGUGACUACUAAAGACUAUGUGUAAUAUCAAGGUAGAUUGUAGUGGAUUCGAAGACUUACUCAUAGUAGCUAUUGUGUUUGAUAUGGAGUUUCAAUAAAAU